GCAAACCUUACUUCAAUAAUUGUGUCGCUGUCAUCUAAACAAUCUGUAUCGUCUUCUUCCAUUACUGUUGUAUCAACUUUAUCUGUUACUGUUGGAAAUUUGUUUAUUAACCGAAGAAAAUGGCUAGCUCGUUAACCAUACUGUAUGGUUCUGUUAAUGUGAGAAUCACAUGAAAGACAAUAAUAUAGGAUGGGUGGGGGGCAUACGCCCCUCCCGUAAUAGAAACACCACUUGUAUAUGUAAGAUCUUGUAUAACAUAAUUUUAUAUUGUAUACUAAUUUUACACAUUUUAGUAAUGAUAUAAAUAUAAAAUCAAGUCGUUUUUGAUACUAGGGUGUAACAAACCACCACCACC
rnacentral:lncRNA from 1 species